GACGAACGCAGGCGGCGUGCUUAACACAUGCAAGUCGAACGAAGAGCGACGGAAGCUUGCUUCUAUCAAUCUUAGUGGCGAACGGGUGAGUAACGCGUAAUCAACCUGCCCUUCAGAGGGGGACAACAGUUGGAAACGACUGCUAAUACCGCAUACGAUCUAAUCUCGGCAUCGAGGAUGGAUGAAAGGUGGCCUCUACAUGUAAGCUAUCACUGAAGGAGGGGAUUGCGUCUGAUUAGCUAGUUGGAGGGGUAACGGCCCACCAAGGCGAUGAUCAGUAGCCGGUCUGAGAGGAUGAACGGCCACAUUGGGACUGAGGCACGGCCCAGACUCCUACGGGAGGCAGCAGUGGGGAAUCUUCCGCAAUGGACGAAAGUCUGACGGAGCAACGCCGCGUGAGUGAUGACGGCCUUCGGGUUGUAAAGCUCUGUUAAUCGGGACGAAAGGCCUUCUUGCGAAUAGUGAGAAGGAUUGACGGUACCGGAAGAGAAAGCCACGGCUAACUACGUG
rnacentral:rRNA from 1 species